rnacentral:rRNA from 1 species
AUGCCUUACACAUGCAAGUCGAACGGUAACAGGUCUUCGGAUGCUGACGAGUGGCGAACGGGUGAGUAAUACAUCGGAACGUGCCCGAUCGUGGGGGAUAACUAUCCGAAAGGAUAGCUAAUACCGCAUACGAUCUGCGGAUGAAAGCGGGGGACCUUCGGGCCUCGCGCGAUUGGAGCGGCCGAUAUCAGAUUAGCUAGUUGGUGGGGUAAAAGCUCACCAAGGCGACGAUCUGUAGCUGGUCUGAGAGGACGACCAGCCACACUGGAACUGAGACACGGUCCAGACUCCUACGGGAGGCAGCAGUGGGGAAUUUUGGACAAUGGGCGCAAGCCUGAUCCAGCAAUGCCGCGUGCAGGAUGAAGGCCUUCGGGUUGUAAACUGCUUUUGUACGGAACGAAACGGUCGCCUCUAAUAAAGGUGGCUAAUGACGGUACCGUAAGAAUAAGCACCGGCUAACUACGUGCCAGCAGCCGCGGUAAUACGUAGGGUGCGAGCGUUAAUCGGAAUUACUGGGCGUAAAGCGUGCGCAGGCGGUGAUGUAAGACAGAUGUGAAAUCCCCGGGCUCAACCUGGGACCUGCAUUUGUGACUGCAUCGCUAGAGUACGGUAGAGGGGGAUGGAAUUCCGCGUGUAGCAGUGAAAUGCGUAGAUAUGCGGAGGAACACCGAUGGCGAAGGCAAUCCCCUGGACCUGUACUGACGCUCAUGCACGAAAGCGUGGGGAGCAAACAGGAUUAGAUACCCUGGUAGUCCACGCCCUAAACGAUGUCAACUGGUUGUUGGGGGUUAGAAUACUCGGUAGCCACAGCUAACGCAAUAAGCACUCCGCCUGGGGAGUACGGUCGCAAGACUGAAACUCAAAGGAAUUGACGGGGGCCCGCACAAGCGGUGGAGUAUGUGGUUUAAUUCGACGCAACGCGAAGAACCUUACCAGAAUGACAUCCCGUGACAGCCAUGGAAACAUGGUCUUGCAAGUUUACUUGCACACGGAGACAGGUGGUGCAUGGUUGUCGUCAGCUCGUGUCGUGAGAUGUUGGGUUAAGUCCCGCAACGAGCGCAACCCCUACAGCUAGUUGCCAGCACAUAAUGGUGGGAACUCUAGCAGAACUGCCGUUGACAAAACGGAGGAAGGUGGGGAUGACGUCAAAUCAUCAUGCCCCUUAUGUCUUGGGCUACACACGUACUACAAUGGCCUGAACAGAGGGAAGCAAAACUGCGAAGUUAAGCGAAUCCCUUAAAACAGGUCCCAGUUCGGAUUGUAGGCUGCAACUCGCCUACAUGAAGUUGGAAUCGCUAGUAAUCGCAGGUCAGCAAUGCCGCGG